rnacentral:misc_RNA from 1 species
CUCGGAAAAAAGUAUUUAGUUACAAUAAAAAACUAGCACACCUUUAUCUUGAAAUUUAAUCAGUUUUUUAGCCUAAAGUAGUUCAUUUUUUUACUGCAUUACUUUUAAAUUUCGAGUGUUUUUAAUCUUAAAUCAUCAUUAAUGUCGUAUCGUUGAUUUUCCCCUAAGAGAAACAAUUUUUGUCACAACAUGGACAAGUGGAACACAAUCGAGGACGCAACACUGAACACAAAGAUAAUGAAGAGUGAAGAAGGAUUCGGUCAAAUUUCUUCAUGGGAAAUGGAAUAUUAAAAUCUACCUUAGGAUCGACUCGAGUCGAUCGAUUUAAAAAGAUUUAAAAUUAAAAAUAGCCUCAGGACAGACUGUGAGCUGCAGUGUGACAUUUGAUCGACCUCGAACUUCAAGCUCAAUAUUGAAGUAGUGACAGUCCAACUCUUCAACAUACAUUUUGAAGUUUAAAACACUUUUGAACAAUGAUCCACGCUGGGAGGAUAGCUUUGUUCGUCAAUUCUCGCCCUACGACUUCUGUCAUUGUCAACAGUUUUGGACUUUCACAAUGUAUAUGGCUACAUAAUUUGAAGAGGUCAUGUACAUCACAGUCAAAUCAAAACAAGCCAAAUUAUCCAGAAAAAACAAUGGCAGAAGUCAAAGCAAAGCUUCGCAAAAUGAUGGGCACGCCUCAGGGGUAUAAAAUGCUUCCUGCGAACCGAAGCCAUUUACUUCCACUCCUUCCCAAGACACAAGAAGAACUACCUGUUCGAACACCAAUGGAUAGUUAUGACACUGCUUCGAUUCUUUUGAGCCAAUCGCCUAAAUUGCAAGACAAGUACGCGACCGUUUUGGGCAGUGUGAGGAUAGGAAGGCUUCUUGAAGAUCUAGAUCUGUUUUGUGUUUGGAUUAGUCUGAGGCACAUAAACAACCCGAAAAGUGUAAACUCAGAAAACACACCAUAUACCAUCGUAACAGCAGGUGUUGACAACGUAAAUUUUACUGAAUAUAGACCUCAGGCUCUUGAUGACCUGCGUUUGUCUGGGAAUGUUAUUUAUGCAGGGAAGACUUCAAUGGAAAUCGAGGCGACUGUGGACACGUUCACUCGAGGCGAGUGGAAGCAGUACAUUAAGGCCUAUUUUGUCAUGGUCGCUAGGAACAGCACAAAUUCAGGUGGUGCUUUCAUCAACCAGCUCAAGCCCAGCACUCCGGAAGAACAGGAAAAAUUCAAGCAAGCUGAAGAAAGGAAAAAGAAAAGGCAGAUAGAGUUGUCAGCCUCUUUACUCAAAACCCCACCAUCGCCGGAUGAACAAAGGCUCGCCCACGACAAAUUUAUGAAGACAGUUGACUUGAAAGAUCCGACAUUGCAUAAAAGAGUCCUCCCAGCACAUGCAAGCUGGAUGGAUUCGACGAAGUUUACUAACACGUUUUCACCACAUCCUGAAAAUAGAAAUCAUCAUAAUAGAGUUUUUGGAGGUUUUCUUAUGAGAAUGGCAUCAGAAUUAUCCUGGGUUAUUGCUUUUUCACAUGGACGGUCAAGACCUUAUCUGUGCCAUAUUAGCGAUUUUUCUUUUAAAACUCCAGUACCAAUGACAGCUUUUAUGAAACUCAGUGGGCAGAUGGUGUAUACAGAACUCAAUUUUGCCCAAAUAGUUGUUGUAUGUGAAAUGUUCCAUGUCCACACUUGGGAAAGGGUGACAACGAACGAAUUCCACUACACUUACAGGUUCAACGACGAACCUCCUGAAAUUAUGCCACUGUCUUACUUAGACACCUUAAGAUUAGUUGAUGGUUACAGACACUUUCAAGGUUUCAAAGCUCUUAUAAGCAAGACAGAUGGAAAAAAAUUAGAACGUGGAUCACCAGAAUAUUACUUAACAUUUUAAAUGUCUGUGUAGUACUUAGGGUCUCUACAAACUUUAUUAAAGAUAUGUUGCUUUAUUUUUGUCUGGGAACAAAAAUAAUAUUCUCUUUUAUGGCUGGAUGGCAGAAGGCAUUUCUUUGAAGCAAUUAAAAGUAUUGAAGGCAGCCAAAAAGUUGCAAAAUUGUGA